UACAGAGGGUGCAAGCGUUAUUCGGAAUUAUUGGGCAUAAAGCGCAUGUAGGUGGUUUGAUAAGUCUGAUGUGAAAUCCCCGGACUCAAUUCGGGAAGUGCAUUGGAUACUGUCAGGCUAGAGUAUGGGAGAGGUGAGCGGAAUUCCAGGUGUAGAGGUGAAAUUCGUAGAUAUCUGGAGGAACAACAGUGGCGAAGGCGGCUCACUGGACCAUUACUGACACUGAGAUGCGAAAGCGUGGGGAGCAAAC
rnacentral:rRNA from 1 species